rnacentral:rRNA from 1 species
UCCAGUUGAUCCUGCUGGGGGAUACUGCUUUUGGAGUUCGAUUUAGACAUGCAAGUUAGAUAGCAAUAUCAGCGAACGGCUCAGUAACACGUGGACAACAUACCCUAAGGACGGGCAUAACCUCUGGGAAACUGAGGGUAAUUCCCGAUAGGUUACAGAUACUGGAAUGUGCUGUAACCCAAAUCAUUUAUGGCCUUAGGAUUGGUCUGCGCCAGAUUAGCCUGUUGGUGGGGUAACGGCCCACCAAAGCUAUAAUCUGUACGGGCGAUGGGAGUCGUAGCCCGGAGAGGGGGACUGAGACAAGGCCCCCAGCCCUACGGGGUGCAGCAGUUACGAAACCUUUACAAUGCACGAAAGUGUGAUAAGGGAACUCCAAGUGAUUAUGCGCGAGCAUGAUCUUUUGCCAAGUGUAAACAGCUUGGAGAAUAAGGGCUGGGCAAGACCCGUGCCAGCCGCCGCGGUAAUACGGGCAGCCCUAGUGGUAUCCGCGAAUAUUGGGCUUAAAGCGUCCGUAGCUGGUUUGGUAAGUCUUCUGUGAAAGCUCAUGGCUUAACUGUGGGAAAUGCGGGAGAUACUGCCAGACUUGGAGGCGGGAGAGGUCAGGGGUACUCAUAGAGUAGCGGUAGAAUGCUGUAAUCCUAUGGGGACCACCGGUAGCGAAGGCGCCUGACUGGAACGCACUCGACAGUGAGGGACGAAAGCUAGGGGAGCGACAGGGAUUAGAUACCCCUUCAGUCCUAGCCGUAAAGGAUGCAGACUAGGUGUUACAUUACUCUAGUAGUCAUGUGGUGCCGAAGGGAAACCAUUAAGUCUGCCGCCUGGGGAGUACGGCCGCAAGACUGAAACUUAAAGGAAUUGGCGGGGGAGCACUACAAGCGGUGGAGGCUGUGGUUUAAUUGGAUACAACGCCGGACAUCUCACCAUGGAAGACGGCAAUGUGAUGGUCAGUCUAAAGGGCUUACCUGAUGAGCCGAGAGGUGGUGCAUGGCCAUCGUCAGCUCGUGCUGUGAAGUGUCCUCUUAAGUGAGGUAACGAGCGAGACCCACACCCUUAGUUACUAAGUGUAUCAUUACGAUGCACAGGACUCUAAGGGGACUGCCAGAGAUAAUCUGGAGGAAGGGGUGGGCGGCGGUAGGUCAGUAUGCCCCGAAUUUCAUGGGCUACACGCGGCCUACAUUGGUAGGCACAACGGGAUGCAACUCCGAAAGGGGAAGCUAAUCUCUUAAAACCUACCCAAGUUUGGAUUGAGGGUUGAAACUCACCCUCAUGAAAAUGGAAUCGCUAGUAAUCGCGGGUCACUAUCCCGCGGUGAAUGUGUCCCUGCUCCUUGCACACACCGCCUGUCAAGCCAUCCAAGUGGGGUUUAGGUGAGGCCUGGUCCUUUGGUCUGGGUCGAGCCUAGACUUCGUGAGGCGGGCUAAGUCAUAACAAGGUA